AAUAGAUACCCUGGUAGUCCACCCCCGUAAAACGUUGGGAACUAGUUGUGGGGUCCUUUCCACGGAUUCCGUGACGCAGCUAACGCAUUAAGUUCCCCGCCUGGGGAGUACGGCCGCAAGGCUAAAACUCAAAGGAAUUGACGGGGACCCGCACAAGCGGCGGAGCAUGCGGAUUAAUUCGAUGCAACGCGAAGAACCUUACCAAGGCUUGACAUACACCAGAACACCCUAGAAAUAGGGGACUCUUUGGACACUGGUGAACAGGUGGUGCAUGGUUGUCGUCAGCUCGUGUCGUGAGAUGUUGGGUUAAGUCCCGCAACGAGCGCAACCCUCGUUCUAUGUUGCCAGCACGUAAUGGUGGGAACUCAUGGGAUACUGCCGGGGUCAACUCGGAGGAAGGUGGGGAUGACGUCAAAUCAUCAUGCCCCUUAUGUCUUGGGCUUCACGCAUGCUACAAUGGCCGGUACAAAGGGCUGCAAUACCGUGAGGUGGAGCGAAUCCCAAAAAAGCCGGUCCCAGUUCGGAUUGAGGUCUGCAACUCGACCUCA
rnacentral:rRNA from 1 species